rnacentral:rRNA from 1 species
GUGGGGAAUAUUGGACAAUGGGCGAAAGCCUGAUCCAGCCAUGCCGCGUGUGUGAAGAAGGUCUUCGGAUUGUAAAGCACUUUAAGUUGGGAGGAAGGGCAGUAAGUUAAUACCUUGCUGUUUUGACGUUACCGACAGAAUAAGCACCGGCUAACUUCGUGCCAGCAGCCGCGGUAAUACGAAGGGUGCAAGCGUUAAUCGGACUUACUGGGCGUAAAGCGCGCGUAGGUGGUUUUGUAAGUUGGAGGUGAAAUCCCCGGGCUCAACCUGGGAACUGCCUCCAAAACUGCAUGACUAGAGUACGGUAGAGGGUAGUGGAAUUUCCUGUGUAGCGGUGAAAUGCGUAGAUAUAGGAAGGAACACCAGUGGCGAAGGCGACUACCUGGACUGAUACUGACACUGAGGUGUGAAAGCGUGGGGAGCAAACAGGAUUAGAUACCCUUGUAGUCC